rnacentral:tRNA from 1 species
GGAAUAUAGCUCAGUGGUAUAGCAUGUGCUCAAUACGCAUGAGACCCUGGGUUCAAUCCCCAGCACCA